UUAAAUCUUUUGUAAUUUUCAAUUUUAUUUUUCGCUUUUUCCAUCUUGCAGUCUUGUGAUUUGUUCUUUUUUGAAAACGUGAUAUAAAGUAUUGCAUUUUAAACAUGGUCUCGAAUAAGUGUUCAGUUAUCGGUUGUAAAGAUUCUGCAAAAAGGAAACACAUCUUUCCAAAUAAUGAAGAUGAUAUGAAAAUAUGGGUAUAAAGAACCGGAAAUCCAGUCUUCGAAAAUCUGUCGGUAGAAGCUAUAAGAAAAAAAUACCAAAUUUGUAAAAAUCAUUUCGAUAAAUGUUGUGAUUCACCUGGUACGAAUCAAAAACUAAAGCAGCAUUCGCUGCCUAAUUAACUUACCUCGAGUAUAUGAAUCACCAUUGAAUUGGUCUAGCAGAGAACCAUCAAUAUCGUCCAAAAAUUGCAUUCAAAAUCUCGCUUCAAUCGUAGAGUCAUCACUAAACUGGUCAAGCAUAAGCCCACCAAAUCAUGAUAAUGACGAGUACGGUUGUUUUGGAAUACGUGUAUAUGUGGCGAGGAUUUGUUACUAAAAACCCGGAUGGUCACCCAUCCGAGAACUAGCGACACCGACUGAUACUUGACCUUAGAACACGUAAGUGACUCACACCAACCACCACGACACACCACACCAAAUUACUAAUAUUUAUAAGUAUAGUUAUUACUUAUUAGUCAUAAUAACAAAGGUA